CACAGACAACCAGGAUGUUGGCUUAGAGGCAGCCACUCAUUCAAAGAGUGCGUAAUAGCUCACUGGUCGAGUGAUCCUGCGCCGAAGAUUUCCGGGGCUAAAACUUACUACCGAAGCUACGGCAUCAGUAAUGAUGGGUAGGGGAGCUUCCCAUACGGGUUGAAGCAUGACCGUAAGGACAUGUGGACAGUAUGGGAGUGAGAAUGUUGGCAUGAGUAGCGAGAGGUGGGUGAGAAUCCCACAGGCCGUAAACCCAAGGUUUCCAGGGGGAGGUUCGUCCGCCCUGGGUUAGUCGGGACCUAAGCUGAGGCCGAAAGGCGUAGGUGAUGGACAACAGGUUGAUAUUCCUGUACUACCGAUAACCGUUUGAGAGAAGGGAUGACACAGUAGGAUAAGCUAAGCACACUGUUGGUUAUGUGUGCCCAAGCAUUGAGGCAGUCAAAGUAGGCAAAUCCGCUUUGAUAAUGCUGGGAUGUGAUGGGGAGCGAAAUUUAGUAGCGAA
rnacentral:rRNA from 1 species